rnacentral:lncRNA from 1 species
CUGUAGCUGUAGUUGAAAAUUACCAGAAAUGCUAUGGAAUCUCCCUGAGAUGUUGCCAAGUGGUAGGGAGGAUACACCUAGCAGGGCAUGGGUGAAGACAGUGGUUUGCUGAUUGUAUCCUAAAGAGAAUGUGCUUAUGUGCUUUGUCCCUUCCAGUCUGGCUGCCCUCUGAAGCCUCCCUGUCCUCCUUCCUCCCCAGUCACAACUAUUACCUGAAGCCAUUCUGCACUAGGCUCCCACUGCCUCCCUGGAGGCUGCAUUUGACUCCUCCCUGCUCCCAGGCCUCCCUUUCUUGGGAAACCUCUCUCUCUCUCCUACUUUUUUCAAAUUCCACUUGUUCCUGCAAAUAUUUUUUCCCUUAUGUAUCCUCUAUAAACAGUGUAAGUUCUUCUAUGGGCUUACAUUUUAUUUUUAGAAACAAAAGCCAGAAGGGGCAAAGGCUACUUUACUUUCUACACCUGAAGUAGUGGCUAUUGACAUGAAUAUGGAAAGGGCAAAGGACAAAUAAAAUGGUGAGGAAAAAAUAUAAAUUAUAUAUCAAAGCCAUAUGCUGUUCUGCUUUGAUUUCUAAUGGAACUUAGUCAAUCUUGAGCUGAUUGGGUUUUGCUGUUGGACACAGAACAUGAAUGUAACUUAAAUGAAUCACAGCAUAUUUUAUACAGCAUAUGCUUGCCUUCUUCCCUGUGCUUUAUGUGGGCUGUGUAAGAGGGGAAGCAGAGAACUCACCAUAUUUAUAAUUAAAUAAUUAGCCUAAUAGCUCUUACAUAUCUGCCUUCCAUGCUCAACUGGAAGCUCCAUGACUGCCGAAACUAUGUCUGUCUUUUCACUGUGGAUCUGAAUUUCUUCUCCACAGUGCCUCCUAAUCCUGGACAACAGAACAUUGCUGGACAACCAUGGCAAAGCUGAGCUCAGUGGGCUCACCAUGGAUUUACUCUGAUCUGCAUUACUUAGAUCAUUAAUGUCAAUCCCUUUUUUCCCAGUAGCUUUAUGUCUGUUCACAUCAUUUCAUUCUCAAUUGCACUAGCUCUGUGCUUUUACCCUUAGCUGUUAUCCUCACCCUCUAUCUAAACAAGAGCUCCUUUGAUUUCCUUCCUCCUCACUUUAAAAUUUUCUUUUGCCUUUGAUCGUUCUCUUAUUUUUCUCAUCCUGUCUCAGGAAUGCUCUUUCUUCCCAAGGCUAUGCCUUCCUCUCUGUAUGGAUCCUGUCCCCUCCUGGCUUUCCAGGACUACUGCAUGAAUUACCUUCUAUUUUCUUGCAUCUUCAGUGUCACCCUUUUCAUGAGCUCUGCAACAGUCCUAUUGCCCAAGCUCUAGAAAAUCCCCCUCUUAAAUUAUUGUAUUUCUAGCCUUUCAUUUACUAUCUCAUUUCUCAAAAGUGCAAUAAACAUGUAAUUUCCCUUUUUCUA